rnacentral:rRNA from 1 species
GAUGAACGCUGGCGGCGUGCCUAAGACAUGCAAGUCGAAUGUGCCCGCAAGGGUAACAUGGCGAACGGGUGAGUAACACGUGGGUGAUCUGCCCUGCACUUCGGGAUAAGCCUGGGAAACUGGGUCUAAUACCGGAUAGGACCACUGCCUGCAUGGGUGGUGGUGGAAAGCUUUUGCGGUGUGGGAUGGGCCCGCGGCCUAUCAGCUUGUGGGUGGGGUGAUGGCCUACCAAGGCGACGACGGGUAGCCGGCCUGAGAGGGUGACCGGCCACACUAGGACUGAGUUACGGGCCCGACUCGUACGGGAGGCAGCAGUGGGGAAUAUUGCACAAUGGGCGCAAGCCUGAUGCAGCGACGCCGCGUGAGGGAUGACGGCUUUCGGGUUGUAAACCUCUUGCAGCACCGACGAAGCGCAAGUGACGGUAGGUGCAGAAGAAGGACCGGCCAACUACGUGCCAGCCGCCGCCGUAA